UACGGGGGGGGCAAGCGUUGUUCGGAAUUACUGGGCGUAAAGGGCUCGUAGGCGGCCCUCUCAGUCGGAUGUGAAAUCCCCAGGCUUAACCUGGGAAUGGCAUCCGAUACUGGAGGGCUUGAAUUCGGGAGAGGGAUGCAGAAUUCCAGGUGUAGCGGUGAAAUGCGUAGAUAUCAAGAGGAACACCUGAGGCGAAGGCGGGUUGCUAGGCUGACACUGACGCUGAGUGCGCGAAAGCCAGGGGAGCAAACGGG
rnacentral:rRNA from 1 species